CCUACGGGUGGCAGCAGUGAGGAAUAUUGGUCAAUGGACGAGAGUCUGAACCAGCCAAGUAGCGUGAAGGAUGACGGCCCUAUGGGUUGUAAACUUCUUUUAUAAGGGAAUAAAAUGUGCCACGUGUGGGAUUUUGUAUGUACCAUAUGAAUAAGGAUCGGCUAACUCCGUGCCAGCAGCCGCGGUAAUACGGAGGAACCGAGCGGUAUACGGAUUUAUUGGGUUUAAAGGGAGCGUAGGUGGCUUGUUAAGUCAGUUGUGAAAGUUUGCGGCUCAACCGUAAAAUUGCAUUUGAAACUGGCAGUCUUUCUUACAGUAGAGGUGGGCGGAAUUCGUGCUGUAGC
rnacentral:rRNA from 1 species